CCGGUUCAGACCUCGCUGUUUUAAUGCGCGCUUGAACGAUGCGCUUAACGACACUUUAAUCGCUGAUCGAGCCGUCUUGUGGCGGAACCGUGGUGGACUUUCCGGGUGUUGGUACUCUUUCUGGUUUGGUGCAUGAUUUUCUUUUGUUCUUUUUGUUUGUUUUUGCUGUUUCUUUUGUAGGUCACCUCACUGAUUUGCACUGCCAUCUUCGAGUUGAGCCAUAACUGUUAUUUUAAUGUGUGACUGGUUUUAAAUUAGUAUAUUUCUGAUUGAACAAUUGUGUAAUAAAUAAAAUUAUUGAAUUGGG